CAGUAGCCGCGGUAAUACGUAGGUGGCAAGCGUUGUCCGGAAUUAUUGGGCGUAAAGGGCUCGCAGGCGGUUUCUUAAGUCUGAUGUGAAAGCCCCCGGCUCAACCGGGGAGGGUCAUUGGAAACUGGGAAACUUGAGUGCAGAAGAGGAGAGUGGAAUUCCACGGGUAGCGGUGAAAUGCGUAGAGAUGUGGAGGAACACCAGUGGCGAAGGCGACUCUCUGGUCUGUAACUGACGCUGAGGAGCGAAAGCGUGGGGAGCGAACAGGAUUAGAUACCCCUGUAGUCCCUGUCUCUUAUAC
rnacentral:rRNA from 1 species